GCCCAGCUUGCUGGGUGUGGCGAACGGGUGAGUAACACGUGAGUAACCUGCCCUUGACUCUGGGAUAAGCCUGGGAAACUGGGUCUAAUACCGGAUAGGAACGUCCACCGCAUGGUGGGUGUUGGAAAGAUUUAUCGGUCAUGGAUGGACUCGCGGCCUAUCAGCUUGUUGGUGAGGUAAUGGCUCACCAAGGCGACGACGGGUAGCCGGCCUGAGAGGGUGACCGGCCACACUGGGACUGAGACACGGCCCAGACUCCUACGGGAGGCAGCAGUAGGAAUAUUGCACAAUGGGCGAAAGCCUGAUGCAGCGACGCCGCGUGAGGGAUGACGGCCUUCGGGUUGUAAACCUCUUUCAGUAGGGAAGAAGCGAAAGUGACGGUACCCUGAAGAAGCACCGGCUAACUACGUGCCAGCAGCCGCGGUAAUACGUAGGGUGCGAUCCGGAAUGAUGCGUAAAGAGCUCGUAGGCGGUUUGUCGCGUCUGUCGUGAAAGUCCGGGGCUUAACCCCGGAUCUGCGGUGGGUACGGGCAGACUAGGAUGUAGGGGAGACUGGAAUUCCUGGUGUAGCGGUGGAAUGCGCAGAUAUCAGGAGGAACACCGAUGGCGAAGGCAGGUCUCUGGGCUGUAAAGAUUGAGGAGCGAAAGCAUGGGGAGCGAACAGGAUUAGAUACCCUGGUAGUCCAUGCCGUAAACGUUGGGCACUAGGUGUGGGGACCAUUCCACGGUUUCCGCGCCGCAGCUUUCAUUAAGUGCCCCGCCUGGGGAGUACGGCCGCAAGG
rnacentral:rRNA from 1 species